UUAUUAUUAUAUAAUUAAUGGGCACAUUCUAUGAACUACACAACACAUAUUAUCAUAUUUAAAUCCCAUAAGCAGCCCAUGAUAGAUAAUACAUGUUCCUAUUUUGUAGAUGAGCAAACUAAGACUCAGAACUGAGCGACACAAACUAGCUUCAUGUACUAGCCCUAUUUUUACAAAUGCUGUUCCCUCUACAAGUAAUGCCUUUCUACUCUUCACACACCUAACAGGUUUCUUGAAAUCAGGGAGAGGCUGACUACCUUGGCACAGGGCUUAAACUGCAAAGCUUCAAAAUUUGCCUUGACGACUUGGGCAAGUUACUUCCCCUACCCUGUGUGCCUCCCUUUCUGCAACUGUAACUGAACAUGAUGAUAACAGGACCUCCUAGAAGUUUACAUGAGAUAGGGAAUGUAAACUGCUUACUUAGCAUAGACCUGGCACACAGCAGGCAGAAGCACUCAAAAAUGUGUAUUUGAGCCAGGUGUAGUGGUACUUACCUGUCAUCCCAGAAACUCUGAAGGCUAAGGCAGGAGGAUUGCAAGUCAGAGGCCAGUUUUAGCAACCAGUGAGACCCUGUCUCAAAAUCAAAACCAAAAAGGACUGGGAAUGUAGCUCAGUGGUAGAGGGCCCCUGGGUUCAAUACACAGUACAGGGGCGGGGAAAAAGUAUUAUUCCUAAGCAUUCUGGAUCAUCACUAUGGGCAAUUAUAAUUAAAGCAGGGGGCAACCCAGCACUUUCAAAAGUAACAAAAGUGUUGAGGAUUUUUUCCCUGUGCAGUAAAUUUGCCCCACCGGUUCUAGGGCUGCGUUUCAUUGUUAUUCCUUAUGUUUGCUGUCAAGAAUCACUUCUCAGAACUGUAGAUAAGGCUGGAGCUGAGUGGUAGAGUGUGCCAAGGCCUGAGUUUCAUCCCCAGCACUGCAAAAACAAAAAGAAUCACUUCUCCUCCAUUAAUAGCCGAUCAAAUACAUCAUUCUAAUUUGCUGCUUUCAAUCUUUUGCAUUUGUUAGACUCACAUGAAAACAGAGUAAAUCAGAUCUGAAGUGUUCUACAAUAAAGAAAAAUAUGAUUUCUCAAAGGUCUUUUAUUCCUCCCUGGACCUUUCUAAGUUACUUGGAAAAAAAGAAUUUUAAAUAAAUGAGAAUUUAAUGAACUUCUCCUCUAUUACAUGAGAAAAUAUAGAUGAAUCUUGUCUCCUCCUUUGGCUACGAUCCACAUAUAAAUAAUAACCACGCCUUGGAUAUUGUUGUGGUUGUUGUUUCAAUAUGCCACAAUCCCCACCUGCACAUUCAGACAGCCACUCCCAGAGGGGUAGAGUUCAUGUCA
rnacentral:lncRNA from 1 species